rnacentral:rRNA from 1 species
UUGGAGGGCAAGUCUGGUGCCAGCAGCCGCGGUAAUUCCAGCUCCAAUAGCGUAUAUUAAAGUUGUUGCAGUUAAAAAGCUCGUAGUUGAAUUUCGGGGUCAGUAGGUCGGUCGUGCCACUGGUAUGAACUGGUUUUACUGAUUCCUCCCUCUUGAAGAACUGUAAUGCCAUUAAUUUGGUGUUGCAGGGAAUCAGGACUGUUACUUUGAAAAAAUUAGAGUGUUUAAAGCAGGCUUUAGCUUGAAUACAUUAGCAUGGAAUAAUGAAAUAGGACGUUUGAUCCUAUUUUGUUGGUUUCUAGGAUUGACGUAAUGAUUAAUAGGGAUAGUUGGGGGCAUUAGUAUUCAAUUGUCAGAGGUGAAAUUCUUGGAUUUAUUGAAGACUAACUACUGCGAAAGCAUUUGCCAAGGAUGUUUUCAUUAAUCAAGAACGAAAGUUAGGGGAUCGAAGACGAUCAGAUACCGUCGUAGUCUUAACCAUAAACUAUGCCGACUAGGGAUCGGAUGAUGUUAAUUUCUUAAUGACUCAUUCGGCGCCUUACGGGAAA